UCUCCGUAGGUGAACCUGCGGAGGGAUCAUUACAGAGUUCAUGCCCUAACGGGUAGAUCUCCCACCCUAUGUUAUCAUCACUUUGUUGCUUUGGCGGGCCGUCAGGCCUCGGCUUGGCUACCGGCUCUCGCUGGUAAGCGCCCGCCAGAGAACCCCAAACCCUGAAUAUCAGUGUCGUCUGAGUACUAUAUAAUAGUCAAAACUUUCAACAACGGAUCUCUUGGUUCUG
rnacentral:misc_RNA from 1 species